rnacentral:rRNA from 1 species
GACGAACGCUGGCGGCGUGCUUAACACAUGCAAGUCGAGCGGAAAGGCCCUUUCGGGGGUACUCGAGCGGCGAACGGGUGAGUAACACGUGAGUAAUCUGCCCUGGACUCUGGGAUAGCCACCGGAAACGGUGAUUAAUACCGGAUAUGACACCUUGCUGCAUGGUGGGGUGUGGAAAGUUUUUUCGGUCCAGUGUGUGCUCGCGGCCUAUCCGCUUGUUGGUGAGGUAAUGGCUCACCAAGGCUUUGACGGGUAGCCGGCCUGAGAGGGUGACCGGUCACACUGGGACUGAGACACGGCCCAGACUCCUACGGGAGGCAGCAGUGGGGAAUAUUGGACAAUGGGCGGAAGCCUGAUCCAGCAACGCCGCGUGAGGGAUGACGGCCUUCGGGUUGUAAACCUCUUUCAGUACCGACGAAGCGUGAGUGACGGUAGGUACAGAAGAAGGACCGGCCAACUACGUGCCAGCCGCCGCGGUAAGAC